rnacentral:rRNA from 1 species
AUUGAACGCUGGCGGCAUGCCUUACACAUGCAAGUCGAACGGCAGCAUGGAGAGCUUGCUCUCUGAUGGCGAGUGGCGAACGGGUGAGUAAAGCAUCGGAACGUACCGUGUUGUUGUGGUUAACGUAGCGAAAGUUACUCUAAUACCGCAUACGCACUGAGGUGGAAAGCAGGGGAUCGUAAGACCUUUCUCUAUUCUAUCGGCCGAUGUCAGAUUAGCUAGUUGGUAGGGUAAAGGCCUACCAAGGCGACGAUCUGUAGCGGGUCUGAGAGGAUGAUCCGCCACACUGGGACUGAGACACGGACCAGACUCCUACGGGAGGCAGCAGUGGGGAAUUUUGGACAAUGGGGGAAACCCUGAUACAGCAAUGCCGAGUGAGUGAAGAAGGCCUUCGGGUUGUAAAGCUCUUUCGGCCGGGAAGAAAUCGAACAGGCUAAUACCCUGUGUGGAUGACGGUACCGGCAUAAGAAGCACCGGCUAACUACGUG